rnacentral:lncRNA from 1 species
AGGAGUAUUUCCUGUUUCUCUUACCUGCAAUUCCAAGAUGUCCCACUCCCCAAACUGAAAGCCGGACUCCUGGUACCUACCAAUCCUUCCAGCUUCUGGGUGAGCCCCUCCCCAGAAAACAUCUGAGCCUGCUUCAACUUGUGGCUGCAUUCCACCCCUGCCCUCCUGACCCUCCAUAAAUCUACAUGUGCCUUAGUAAGGAAUAAGGGUAGAAAUAUGGCCCCUUAAGUGUGAGUAUCAUCCUCCACAACAGUGGAGACAGCAGCUUAUUCAUCUGAAGACAGAAAACUUGCCUUGGCAGCCUGAGGCCUGGGAGUUAUGUCAGAACUUUCAGAAUGGUUGGCGGUGCCUUUGCCUGUGCUGGUCCAGGUUCUACGUCGACUUGGAGAAGCUUUUUACUGCGUCCACUGAGGGACGCCCAGAUUCCUCAGAGGGAAGUCGGGUGUGCCGGCUGGAGCACAGCAGGGGUCAGAAGGGGCCUGCCUGGCUUCCACCACAGCAACUUGCUUCUGCUUCAAGGCUUCAGGAAUCAAGUCUGUUUGGCUCAUCCUGCACCUAGCACCACGGCUGGCAAACAGUAACAGUUUAAUAAAUACACAUGGAAUGUUGAAAUGAAUGAAUGAGCACAUAAUAAUGAGUCUUUUCUAACUCAAGGCCUCAACACCUCAGACCCCAUCCCUGACCCUGCCUUGCUGCAGGGACCUUGACCUUGUAUGAUACCCCAGCCUCUGCUCUGAGUCCAGGGCCUCUGCCCUCUGCCUCUGCUCUUUAGCUUCCUUGGCCAGGUGAGGCCCACUUUCUGGAGUCCAGACAGCCUCCUCUUUUCUUCAGCAGUGAAGCUUACGGCCUCUCUUCCAGAAGGGUGGGCAGGGAUCCCACCUUAGCAUUCCCCAGCUCUGAGCUGGGGUCACAGUUAGGAUACAACUACUUCAAAGGGGUCUUCAGGCCAGUGAACCCUCUGACCCUUUUCUGACCUCCCCGCCUUUUUCUACCUGCCAAACUCAGCACUUUCCCUCCCUUCCUUUAUGCCCUUGACUCAAGCCUCGGAUUCAUUUUUUAAAAUAUUUACAUUUCCACCCUUCUUCAGGGGACUCUGUCUCUCUAAUAAAUAGAACAUGAGCAGCUGCUCUCACCUGACCCUGCAGCAGCACUGGGGGUGGUGGGGAGCCCUGGCUGCUGCCAUUCCUCUCCACGCAGGCGCCCUGGUCAGACCCGCUUCUUCCACGCUGCCCUGACG